rnacentral:rRNA from 1 species
CCUACGGGAGGCAGCAGUAGGGAAUCUUCCGCAAUGGACGAAAGUCUGACGGAGCAACGCCGCGUGAACGAUGAAGGCCUUCGGGUCGUAAAGUUCUGUUGUUAGGGAAGAACAAGUGCUAGUUGAAUAAGCUGGCACCUUGACGGUACCUAACCAGAAAGCCACGGCUAACUACGUGCCAGCAGCCGCGGUAAUACGUAGGUGGCAAGCGUUGUCCGGAAUUAUUGGGCGUAAAGCGCGCGCAGGCGGUUUCUUAAGUCUGAUGUGAAAGCCCCCGGCUCAACCGGGGAGGGUCAUUGGAAACUGGGAAACUUGAGUGCAGAAGAGGAAAGUGGAAUUCCAAGUGUAGCGGUGAAAUGCGUAGAGAUUUGGAGGAACACCAGUGGCGAAGGCGACUUUCUGGUCUGUAACUGACGCUGAGGCGCGAAAGCGUGGGGAGCAAACAGGAUUAGAUACCCUGGUAGUCCACGCUGUAAACGAUGAGUGCUAAGUGUUAGAGGGUUUCCGCCCUUUAGUGCUGAAGUUAACGCAUUAAGCNCNCCGCGUGGAGGUACGUCGCAGANAGAACACAANAGAUGACGCGNGAGAGNGCGAGACGACGACGAGGGAGAGG